GCAGGGUGGCACAGGCCCCCCACCCAGGAGGUGUGUCCCCCACAGGCUGUGUCUCUCAGGGCCGGGAGCACCAGGACGGGGAGGAGUUUGAGGGACCAGCAGGCAGCUGUGAGUGGUGUCUCUGUCAGGCUGGCCAGGUCAGCUGUGUGCGGCUGCAGUGCCCACCCCUUCCCUGCAAGCUCCAGGUCACCGAGCGGGGGAGCUGCUGCCCUCGCUGCAGAGGCUGCCUGGCUCAUGGGGAAGAGCACCCUGAAGGCAGUAGAUGGGUGCCCCCCGACAGUGCCUGCUCCUCCUGUGUGUGUCACGAGGGCGUCGUCACCUGUGCACGCAUCCAGUGCAUCAGCUCUUGCGCCCAGCCCCGCCAGGGGCCCCAUGACUGCUGUCCUCAAUGCUCUGACUGUGAGCAUGAGGGCCGGAAGUAUGAGCCCGGGGAGAGCUUCCAGCCUGGGGCAGACCCCUGUGAAGUGUGCAUCUGCCAGCCACAGCCUGAGGGGCCUCCCAGCCUUCGCUGUCACCGGCGGCAGUGUCCCAGCCUGGUGGGCUGCCCCCCCAGCCAGCUCCUGCCCCCUGGGCCCCAGCACUGCUGUCCCA
rnacentral:lncRNA from 1 species